GCUUACACAUGCAAGUCGAGGGGUAACAGAGGUAGCUUGCUACUUGCUGACGACCGGCGCACGGGUGAGUAACGCGUAUACAAUUUGCCUUAUACUGGGGAAUAACCAAGAGAAAUUUUGACUAAUACCCCAUAGUAUAUAUGAAUCGCAUGGUUUAUAUAUUAAAGAUUUAUUGGUAUAAGAUGAGUAUGCGUCCUAUUAGUUAGAUGGUAAGGUAACGGCUUACCAUGACUAUGAUAGGUAGGGGUCCUGAGAGGGAGAUCCCCCACACUGGUACUGAGACACGGACCAGACUCCUACGGGAGGCAGCAGUGAGGAAUAUUGGACAAUGGAGGCAACUCUGAUCCAGCCAUGCCGCGUGCAGGAAGACGGCCCUAUGGGUUGUAAACUGCUUUUAUACAGGAAGAAACGCAUUCUCGUGAGAGUGUUUGACGGUACUGUACGAAUAAGCACCGGCUAACUCCGUGCCAGCAGCCGCGGUAAUACGGAGGGUGCAAGCGUUAUCCGGAAUCAUUGGGUUUAAAGGGUCCGUAGGCGGGCGAUUAAGUCAGAGGUGAAAUCCCACAGCUCAACUGUGGAACUGCCUUUGAUACUGGUUGUCUUGAAUUUUAGUGAAGUAGAUAGAAUAUGUAGUGUAGCGGUGAAAUGCAUAGAUAUUACAUAGAAUACCGAUUGCGAAGGCAGUCUACUAACUAACAAUUGACGCUAAUGGACGAAAGCGUGGGGAGCGAACAGGAUUAGAUACCCUGGUAGUCCACGCCGUAAACGAUGGAUACUAGUUGUUGGGGUUUACCUCAGUGACUAAGCGAAAGUGAUAAGUAUCCCACCUGGGGAGUACGUUCGCAAGGAUGAAACUCAAAGGAAUUGACGGGGGCCCGCACAAGCGGUGGAGCAUGUGGU
rnacentral:rRNA from 1 species